rnacentral:rRNA from 1 species
GACAGAGGGUGCAAACGUUGUUCGGAAUUACUGGGCGUAAAGCGCGUGUAGGCGGUCUCGCAAGUCGGAUGUGAAAGCCCAGGGCUCAACCCUGGAAGUGCACUCGAUACUGCGAGGCUAGAGUCCCGGAGAGGAUGGUGGAACUCUCGGUGUAGAGGUGAAAUUCGUAGAUAUCGAGAAGAACACCGGUGGCGAAGGCGGCCCCCUGGUUGGAUACUGACGCUGAUACGCGAAAGCGUGGGGAGCAAACAGG